rnacentral:lncRNA from 1 species
CCAUGUAUAUUUAAGCCCGAGCGUGCUGUCUUAAACGUCGAUCCCCAUUCCUACUUGUGUGUUCCGGCUUACUAGAGGUCAAUAAAGACGGCAUGAUUAAGAUUCUCCUAUGGCUCCUUUGCGCCAACACAGUAGGCAACACCAUGACAAAAGACAGCACCUAACAGAAAAUUGCUGCACGCUUCAUCACACUAGCCCGUCCUGAGAGUGUCCUGCAUCGAGCCAGACCCAGCCCGCCGGCCGCUCCUCAGUCAAGCCCGCCAGCCGUGGCACUCUCCAGCAUGCCGGCCGCGCCGAUGUCAAGCCCACCGGCCGAACCGUUCUCCCUUAACCAAAGGAGGAGAAUGAGGAGAAAAAGACUGUUCUCCGCCCUCAUCCUAGCUCCAGAGCUCGCUCCAGUGUCGGCUCCAGUGUCGGCUCCAGCCCCAGAGCUCGCUCCAGUGUGGGUUCCAGUCCCUGAAUCCAGCCCAGCGAGGGCUCCAGUCCCCGAGUUUAGCACAGCGAGGGCUCCAGUCCCCGAGUUUAGCCCAGAGAGGCAACACUGUGACACCAGUAGUGCCCCGACAGUGCAGAGGUAUGUGAUGCUACAGACUGACCCACUGACCCUCCUGGCCCAAAAGCUCAACAACAGAAUCCAUGAUUGGCCCAGUGCUUACCUCAGCGGUGGAUGUGCCAGCUACAGAAAACUCCUGAGGUGGUCGCCAGGCUCUAGAGUUCUCUAUAAAUUACCAGGAAACUUAUGGAACCUUCUGGAACUAUGGAGUGAGAUCUAAUACUCAUAUUGUGCCGUUAAACAUUUCAUUUGGUAUGUGCUAGAUAUAUUGAUUGAUUUGUUCACAUAAGUUUGAGGAGAUUAUUAAAUCAAUACCGACCUUAAUUACUAAAUAUUUAUUAAUAUUUUUUACCAAUGUUUUUAGCAAAUUUCAGUGGUAUAACAUAGUAAAAUCUACUUGCAUUUUAAACAUAAUAUUGAACAAAGUGAGUGAAUAAAUAUCUUAACUUUAAGUUCAUAAAAUAAGUUUUACUUGCAAAUCUGAUGCAAUGGCACUCACAAAAAAUUGAAUGGAUGUUGAAGUAUAAUAGAUGGUAUACACACGCAUAACAAAACUGAUAAUGUCCAGAAUAAUGAUAAUGUCUGACAAUGUCCAAAUCUGAUAAUGACAGAAAAUGGCAGGUACCUUUUCCAUUUCCAAUACAAUCAAUCUACAAAAUUCUUUCAUAUCAACAUGGUAUACUGAGUCAUAUUUUUACAGAUGUUUUGUAGUGUUUAAGAUAUUUCAUACCACCCAGUUGAAUAUGUGUUGUUUAAUAUGUGAAAUAUGUUUUCUUUUUCUGUAUGCUAAGUUUAGGAAACAUACACAUACACAAUAACAGUAACAAUAACUGGAUAAUUUUUUAUUUCUGUACUGCAACAAACAGUAGAGACAGCAAUGUGAAGGUCAUAGUUCCCAGGCAAUAAAAUAUAUACCUUGAAUACAAUGUAACUUGCUUUGGAUAAAGGCCAAAUCUGCCAAAUGCAUAUAUGUAAAUGUCAUGUAAAUCAUUGAGGGGAAAAAAUAAUAAUUCAGCACAGAAAAACAACUUACCAAACUUGAUAACAAUAACAACAGUGCAAAUAAACCUGGCAAACAUUGAAAAUAUGCAAACUUAUUAAUUAUUCAUGUCCCACUGCAUACUGGGAGCACCUGCAUUGUAAAGCAUAGUAGAUUUGACUUGAUUUAUACAUUUGAAGUUUACUAAAACCUGUGCAUCUUGAAAUAAAUGAGAACUCAUUAAUAUAUAGAUUUGAAACCCU